rnacentral:rRNA from 1 species
UACGUAGGAGGCAAGCGUUGUCCGGAAUUACUGGGCGUAAAGCGCGUGUAGGUGGUGGGACAAGUCUGCUGUGAAAGCGCCUGGCUUAACCGGGCGAGGUCGGCGGAAACUGUCCGACUCGAGGACGGUAGGGGAGGGGUGAAUUCCGCGUGUAGCAGUGAAAUGCGUAGAUAUGCGGAGGAACACCGAUGGCGAAGGCAAUCCCCUGGGCCUGCACUGACGCUCAUGCACGAAAGCGUGGGGAGCAAACAGG